UUCCCGUCUCCAGAAUUCUGUUCCUUCUACUUGAAGUUGGCUUGAAGAUGGCUAGCUGCCAUGGAAGCAAUCAUUCUACUGAAAGCCAUUUUUACAUUUUCUUCUCCGUUGUACAAAUGUUCAUUUUCUUUCAUGUAAAAAAUAAUAUUCUAAGCAGAAGGUGAAUAAAUGCAAUCCCCAGAAACUGGUAUCUUCAUUGUAAAGGUAUAUGAAUUUUAUACUUUUUAAAUGGAAAGGAUAUUAUGUAAUUUCAUUUAAGAAGUAAGGUUCUACCUUUGCUUCUUUAUUCU